rnacentral:rRNA from 1 species
AACGAACGCUGGCGGCACGUUUUAAGCAUGCAAGUCGAAUGGCAGCAGGGGCAACUCUGUGAGAAUGGCGAGCGGGUGAGUAACACGUAGGUGAUCUGCCUUGAGGAUGGGGAUAGCCUGUGGAAACACAGGGUAAUACCGAAUGAGCUGACGAGACUUUGGUUUUGUUAGUAAAGGUGCUACGGCACCGCCUUGAGAGGAGCCUGCGGCUGAUUAGCUAGUUGGUGGGGUAAGAGCUUACCAAGGCGACGAUCAGUAGCCGGCCUGAGAGGGGGACCAGCCACGCUGGAACAGAGACACGGGCCAGGCUCCUGCGGGAAGCAGCAGCUAAGAAUCUUCCGCAAUGGGCGAAAGCCUGACGGAGGGAUGCCGCGUGAGAGAUGAAGGUCGAGAGAUUGUAAAGAUCUUUUCUACAUGAGGAAUAAGUCUGGGAGGGAAUGCCCGGAUGAUGACGUUAGUGUAGGAAUAAGCCCCGGCUAAUUACGUGCCAGCAGCCGCCGUAA